GGAAGUGAAGGCAAUCUGGCUGCAACAUCUGUCACCCCACUGAUCGCCAGGGUUGAUUGGGCUGAUCUGGUUGGAUAGCUGGGUGUCCCCUUCAUCCCUCACUGCUCCAAGUGUGUCUCUCCUAAAGCUGCACACUCAGUCCAAGAGGACAGCCAUAGCCAGCAGAAGAGGCCUGGUCUUCAGUCAAGUGUAUAUGGGUAGUUGCGCUCCCUGCUAAAACCUUCAAAGAAGCUCUCAAGAUGAUGGAGGAAGACACAAUAGGCCAUUAACAAUAAAACUCAUUGAAUAGUUAGGCAAAAAAUU
rnacentral:snRNA from 1 species